rnacentral:rRNA from 1 species
AGUGAACGCUGGCGGUAGGCCUAACACAUGCAGGUCGAACGGCAGCACAGUAAGAGCUUGCUCUUACGGGUGGCGAGUGGCGGACGGGUGAGGAAUACAUCGGAAUCUACUUUUUCGUGGGGGAUAACGUAGGGAAACUUACGCUAAUACCGCAUACGACCUACGGGUGAAAGCAGGGGAUCUUCGGACCUUGCGCGAUUGAAUGAGCCGAUGUCGGAUUAGCUAGUUGGCGGGGUAAAGGCCCACCAAGGCGACGACCCGUAGCUGGUCUGAGAGGAUGAUCAGCCACACUGGAACUGAGACACGGUCCAGACUCCUACGGGAGGCAGCAGUGGGGAAUAUUGGACAAAGGGCGCAAGCCUGAUCCAGCCAUACCGCGUGGGUGAAGAAGGCCUUCGGGUUGUAAAGCCCUUUUGUUGGGAAAGAAAAGCAGCAGGUUAAUACCCCGCUGUUCUGACGGUACCCAAAGAAUAAGCACCGGCUAACUUCGUG